UGUAGCUGUUUACCUAUGUGUCUAUGUAACUAUCUAUAUAUUUAAGUGUCUAUGCAUCAUCUAGCUACUUAUCAAUCAAUUCACCUAUUUAUCUACCUAUCAUGUUUCUAUCUAUGAUGAGUUAAUACUAUGCCUGCUUCAUCCAGACUCAGGUUGAGUCUGGUUAUGACAGAUCUUGCUAGAAACACUUAUCUGUGUAAUUGUUUUGUUCAUUUAGUUUUUCUAUGACACCAGACCUUGCUUGAGGGCAGGGAAUACAUGGGUUUUUUCUCAAUUUUAUCUCCUCAUUUCCUGGGAUGGCCAUGGGUUGACAUGCUUAAAUAUUUCUUUAGUGAACAGGGAUAAGAUUGCUGAAUGGUGAAGGAUGAACAAAAGGGCAAGUCAUGGAGCGGUUAAGGUGGCCCUGAGCCAGAGACUCGAGAGGAACACAAGCCAUUCAAGACCAGGAGGGGCUCAGACCUCGGGCAGGAGCCGCUGAUCUUCUGACCGCCCAGCCCUAAGCCCAGCACUGGGCUCUCAUCACCUCAUGGCACAUUUGGACCAAGCCUGGAGCACAUGUCUGGGUUUAUGAUGGGCGGAAAUUGUUUGCUGAACAAAAAGGAUUCUUACAUCUUCUGUGGGACGGCCUUGGAGACUGACAUGUAGGGGAAGAGCUGCUCGACUUCUGGUGAAAAUUUCAGCGUUGAAACGCACGCUGGGGGUGACGGGCACCUGCCCAUGGCAUCCUCAUGGUCAGCGUGGCCUCCCAGGCUCUGUCAUCCUGUCCCUCUGAUCAGUCCAGGGUGGGCAGGAGAGUCGCUGUGAUUUCAGCACUCGUGACCCUGCUCAGCCCCACUCCAUGGGGAAGGAGAGAAGCACCAGCCCCGGAGAGGACACACCCUGUGGUCUGUCUGUCCAGAGGACACCUAGAUCUCCUCCAUCCUCACAGCCUGGACCGCAGGGAGGAGACGCCAUGGCCCCCGCGCUCCCCGCCCUGCUCUGUCUCGGUGAGAUGAGGAGGCGCAGGGGGAGCCCUGGUCUGGAGGGAUACCCCCCCCAGCAACCCUGCUCCGUCAGGGGACCCCAGGGCCCAGGAGGCUCCCGGGGAGGAGAGGCACUGCUCAGAUCUGAGGGCAGACCUUUCACAGGGCGCUCUCUUCCAGGGCUGAGUGUGGGCCUGAGGACCCAAGUGCAGGCCAGUGAGUCUGUCUCAGGGCCUGGCUCCCUCCUCUCGUGGGGACAGGGGUCACACAGGGGACAGGGGAGGGACAGGGGAGGGAGGGGGCAGCUCAGGGCUCACGGAUGGGGAGUCUGGGAGGUCUGGGCUGAGAGCCGGAGCCUGGGCGCAGGGGAUGCCUGGUGAACCCGUCUCUAAUUUCCUUCCAGAGACCCUCCCAAAACCCACCAUCUGGGCAGAGCCAGGCUCUGUGGUCCCCAGGGGUAGCUCCGUGACCAUCUGGUGUCAGGGGUCCCCCAGGGCCCAGGAGUUCCAUCUGGAUAAAGAGGGAAACCCAGAUCUCUGGGACAGACAGAAACCCCCAGGUCCCGGGGACAAGGCCAGGUUCUCCAUCCACUACAUGAGAGAGGACCACGCAGGGAGCUAUCGGUGCUACUACGGAACCCGCACUGGCUGGUCAGAGCGCAGUGACCCCCUGCAGCUGGUGGUGACACGUGAGGGACUCUCGCGGGCCUCGGGCUCUGCCAUCAGGAGGGGGUCUGCUC
rnacentral:lncRNA from 1 species